rnacentral:rRNA from 1 species
AACGCGAAGAACCUUACCUGGCCUUGACAUGUCUGGAAGACCGUAGAGAUAUGGUUGUGCCCGAAAGGGAACCAGAACACAGGUGCUGCAUGGCUGUCGUCAGCUCGUGUCGUGAGAUGUUGGGUUAAGUCCCGCAACGAGCGCAACCCUUGUCCUUAGUUGCCAGCACUUCGGGUGGGCACUCUAAGGAGACCGCCGGUGACAAACCGGAGGAAGGUGGGGAUGACGUCAAGUCAUCAUGGCCUUUAUGGCCAGGGCUACACACGUGCUACAAUGGCCGGUACAAAGGGUUGCCAACUCGCAAGAGGGAGCCAAUCCCAUAAAGCCGGUCGUAGUCCGGAUCGGAGUCUGCAACUCGACUCCGUGAAGUCGGAAUCGCUAGUAAUCGCAGAUCAGCAUUGCUGCGGUGAAUACGUUCCCGGGCCUUGUACACACCGCACGA